GAAGAAGACGGAGGCGGACGAGGGAAAACAAAGACGAGCACAGCGACUGCAGAAGUUGAACAGAAGUGUAACUACUGUGAGUGUUUUAUCAUCUGAAUGGCUGCUGUUGAGUUUCUGAGAGGUUUUAUCAGCGAGCGGCUAACUGCUGCUGCUGCUGAAAUAUUGGGAGUGUUUGAACAAACUAUCGUCCAGUACGAGGAAGAGCUGGACCGUCAGCGCAAACUGCUGGAUAUCAUCCUGAAGCCUGAGAUAAAGCUACACAGAAUAGAUCUCCCUCAACAACACAGUUGUCAAGUGGAGGAUGUUCUGGCUGACCAGCAGCUCUGUAACCAGAAGAAGAACUCUAUUCUGGACCAGGAGGAACCAGAACCUCCACAGGUUAAAGUGGAACAGCAGGAGGUCUGCACCAAUCAUGAAGGAGAGCAGCAUGUACUGAAAGAGGAGACUGAUCCCUCUUUAGUAACUGCUACUUAUAAUGGACCAGAACCAAACUAUGACAUGGUUCUCUCUUACAAAGCUACUCAAGCUCUCACGCAACAACACAAUUGUAAGGAGGAAGAGCUGAUUCUAGCUGAUCAGCAGCUCUGUAAUCAGGAGAGGAACUGCAACUGCAGCCUGGACUGGGAGGAACCAGAACCCCCACAGGUUAAAGAGGAACGGCAAGUUCUGUACAGCAGUGAUGAGGGAGAUCAGCAAGGACUGAAUGAGGAGACUGAGCCCUCUAUAGUAACUGCUGCUUAUGAAAGUGACAAUAUUGAAGCAGAACUAAGCUGUGGUGUGGUUCUCUCUCACAACUCUCCUCCAGCAAAAGAAUCUCUAAAAUGUAAACCUUGUGGAAAAUCCUUUUCAUGUCAGUGGAAGCUUAAGAGACAUAAAAGAAUUCACACAGGUAUCCCUGUUUGGAAUUACCAGUUUGGAAAGAUGGGUAAGAGAAUAUGCGGAUUGUGUUUUCGGAGAUACACCAACUUAAGUCAACACCUUAAAGUGUCCCACACUGUGCCUAAUCAAGAUGAGUUCAGACUUCUCUUGCAAUAUGGGAGUGCUCGAACCCCCGAGAAACUGGACUGCCAAAUAUGUGGCAAGAACAAGCUUACCCGCCUCGAUAAGCACUUACAGGAGUCACAUAAACUAUCAGCAGAUGAACGAGAAACAAUCAUGAGGCAGGCCAAGAGAGCAGUCGUAGUCAAAAAGUUGGCGGCACUGCGGGAGUCACACCCUGAAAUGCCAGUGGUAUCAAUGUUGGACCUCCUAGCUGGUGAUGAAGAUGAUGACUGUCGUCUUCUUGAUGAGGAAUUUCCCAUGGACUGUAAUAAUGAGGAAAAUGGUAAGGUUCAAGAGGGAUCAAGAUUUAAAGAGGUUGAAAAGGUUGCGACGAACCAUGGCUUAAUCCCCAGUGAUCUUCAGUCCAGUGGAAUCAAUCCCAACAACAAAUGUUCCACCCCGCCGCCUGGUCAAAAAAGUGUAAGAAGUAAUGAAGAUGCAUUCUCCUCUAGGGAACCCCCUGAACGAAUGCCAGAAGUCUUCCACAGCAUCACUCAUAUGAAGGUUCCAGGUGAUGGUGAGGAACCGGUCUCUGGACAUGACCUUCUUGAGGAUUAGCCAGGUGAAAGAUGUUGUUGGCACACCAGAAUGCCCAUGAACAGUGAGAUGCCAACAGUGAUAACAUUCAGCCUGUUAGCUCAGUCCACUUCCCAGCAGCAAUAUUUUUUGCUGCAUUUCUGUUUGAAUUGGCACAUAUUUUUUUGACAGCAGCUCAGCCAAAGUACAUACCAAACAGCUGUGUUCACAUACUGUGUUAGAGGUGGCUGCACACCUAGUCUGGUUCAGUUUUCCAGCCACCUAAAUCACCAGGGAGUACCUCUGACCUUUCAGUUGAAUAUGUUCCUUACUUUUCUCUGAC
ensembl:lncRNA zinc finger protein 780A-like